rnacentral:rRNA from 1 species
UACAGGGGGUGCAAACGUUGCUCGGAAUUAUUGGGCGUAAAGCGCGCGUAGGCGGCCGCUUAAGUCGGAUGUGAAAGCCCCUGGCUCAACUGGGGAAGUGCACCCGAAACUGAGUGGCUUGAGUACUAAAGAGGGUCGCGGAAUUCCCGGUGUAGAGGUGAAAUUCGUAGAUAUCGGGAGGAACACCGGUGGCGAAGGCGGCGACCUGGGUAGAUACUGACGCUGAGGCGCGAAAGCGUGGGGAGCGAACAGG